rnacentral:tRNA from 1 species
UCCCUGGAGGACUAGUGGUCAGGCCAUGGCGCUCUCACCGCCGCAGCCCGGGUUCGAGUCCUAGCCAAGGAA